rnacentral:rRNA from 1 species
CAGGGAUUGCCCUAGUAACGGCGAGUGAAGCGGCAACAGCUCAAAUUUGAAAGCUGGCCUUCUGGUCCGCAUUGUAAUUUGCAGAGGAUGCUUUUGGCGCGGUGCCUUCCGAGUUCCCUGGAACGGGACGCCUUAGAGGGUGAGAGCCCCGUACGGUUGGACACCAAGCCUCUGUAAAGCUCCUUCGACGAGUCGAGUAGUUUGGGAAUGCUGCUCUAAAUGGGAGGUAAAUUUCUUCUAAAGCUAAAUACCGGCCAGAGACCGAUAGCGCACAAGUAGAGUGAUCGAAAGAUGAAAAGCACUUUGAAAAGAGGGUUAAACAGCACGUGAAAUUGUUGAAAGGGAAGCGUUUGCGACCAGACUUUUUCCAGGCGGAUCAUCCGGUGUUCUCACCGGUGCACUUCGCCUGGUUUAGGCCAGCAUCGGUUUCUGUAGGGGGAUAAAAGCCUGGGGAAAGUAGCUCUCUCGGGAGUGUUAUAGCCCCUAGCAUAAUACCCUUACGGGGACCGAGGAUCGCGCUCUGCAAGGAUGCUGGCGUAAUGGUCGUCAACGACCCGUCUUGAAACACGGACCAAGGAGUCGAACAUUUGUGCGAGUGUUUGGGUGUUAAACCCUCACGCGUAAUGAAAGUGAACGGAGGUGAGAGCCCUUACGGGUGCAUCAUCGACCGAUCCUGAUGUCUUCGGAUGGAUUUGAGUAAGAGCAUAACUGUUCGGACCCGAAAGAUGGUGAACUAUGCGUGGAUAGGGUGAAGCCAGAGGAAACUCUGGUGGAGGCUCGCAGCGGUUCUGACGUGCAAAUCGAUCGUCAAAUCUGCGCAUG